UUAAGCUACUAAGAGCGUAGGGAGAAUGCCUAGGUACCAAUAGCCGAAGAAAGACGUGAUAAGCUGCGAAAAGCCACGGGGAGAAGCAAAUAUUCAAUAUAUCCGUGGAUUUCUGAAUGAGGAAACUCAACUGACAGGAACAGGUCAGUUAUCUAUACAUGAGUAAAGUAGUGUAUAGAGGGGAACGUGGGGAACUGAAACAUCUAAGUACCCACAGGAAAAUAAAGAAAACUCGAUUCCUAGAGUAGUGGCGAGCGAAAUAGGAAGAGCCCAAACCGGAAGAAGAAAUUCAUCCGGGGUUCGGACUACAUAAUUGAUUCAAGAAGGUUAGUAAAAUUGUUUGGGAAAGCAAACCAGAGACGGUGAAAGUCCAGUAUACGAAAACUGAAUUGACAAGGUAGUAUCCAGAGUAGUGCGAGACACGUGAAAUCUCGUAUGAAAGAGCGGGGACCACCCCGUAAGGCUAAAUACUAAUUGGUAACCGAUAGUGAAGAAGUACCGUGAGGGAAAGUUGAAAAGAACCCCGGGAGGGGAGUGAAAUAGAACCUGAAACCCUAUGUUUACAAGCAGACAAAGCACGUUAAGGUGCGAUGUCGUACUUUUUGUAGAACGGUCCGGCGAGUUAUUUUAUAUGGCAAGGUUAAGUACUGAAGGUACGAAGCCGAAGAGAAAUCGAGUCUGAAGAGGGCGAAGAAGUCAUAUGAAAUAGACCCGAAACCGAGUGACCUAUCCAUGUCCAGGUUGAAGCUUGAGUAAAAUCAAGUGGAGGACCGAACCGAUAAGCGUUAAAAAGCUUCCGGAUGAGGUGUGGAUAGAGGAGAAAUUCCAAUCGAACUCGGAGAUAGCUGGUUCUCCUCGAAAUAGUUUUAGGACUAGCCUUGUUUUAUUAGCACAUGGGGGUAGAGCACUGAAUGAGGUAGGGGCCAACAAGGUUACUGAACUCUAUCAAACUACGAAUACCGUGUGUGGAAGAACAGGAGUCAGACUGCGGGAGCUAAGUUCCGUGGUCAAAAGGGAAAGAGCCCAGAUCGUCAAUUAAGGUCCCAAAGAUAUAGUUAAGUGGAAAACGAUGUGAUUUUGCGUAAACAACCAGGAUGUUGGCUUAGAAGCAGCCAUUCAUUCAAAGAGUGCGUAAUAGCUCACUGGUCGAGUGAUUGUGCGCCGAAAAUGUAACGGGGCUAAACUUGACACCGAAGUCUAGGCAGAAGGAAACUUCUGGGUAGGGGAGCAACGUGUACGGGCAGAAGCAGAAGCGGAAGCGACUGUGGACUGUACAGGAGAGAGAAUGCCGGCAUGAGUAGCGAGAGCAAAGUGAGAAUCUUUGCCGUCGAAAGCCUAAGGUUUCCUGAGGAAGGCUCGUCCUCUCAGGGUAAGUCGGGACCUAAGCCGAGGACAAUAGUCGUAGGCGAUGGACAAUCGGUUAAUAUUCCGAUACCGCCGAGCAACCGGAUGCAGUGACACAGAAGGAUAGGCAGAGCGUGGCGAUGGUAGACCACGUCCAAGCAGUGAGGCUGUUGUGUAGUGAAGUACGCACAACGGAAGGCUGGGCUGUGAUGGGGAACGAUUACGAUCGGUAAGCUGCUGAAUUCACGCUGGCGAGAAAAGCUGCUACGAAGCGAAGGCGCCCGUACCGCAAACCGACACAGGUAGGCGAGGAGAGAAUCCUAAGACGAGCGGGAGAACCCUUGUUAAGGAACUCGGCAAAAUGACUCCGUAACUUAGGGAGAAGGAGUGCCUCGAGAGGGGCCGCAGAGAAUAGGCCCAAGCGACUGUUUACCAAAAACACAGGUCUGUGCGAAGUAGAGAUACGACGUAUACGGGCUGACGCCUGCCCAGUGCCGGAAGGUUAAGGGGAAGUGUUAGGGCAACCGAAGCACGGAACUUAAGCCCCGGUGAACGGCGGCCGUAACUAUAACGGUCCUAAGGUAGCGAAAUUCCUUGUCGGGU
rnacentral:rRNA from 1 species